UCCCUGGUGCCUCAGUGGUAAGGGACCUGCCUGUCAAUGCAGGAGACACAGGUUCAAUCCCUGGUCUGAGAA
rnacentral:tRNA from 1 species